rnacentral:lncRNA from 13 species
GGGAGGAGGCAAGGGAGAGGGUGAUUUACAGCCGCUGGGGAACGUCUCUCCUGUGAACUUCUCUGGGUUAAACCUGCAUCUGGUGGUCUUCAGGACCCUGCAGGCCGGGCUACAAUGAGCAGCUGGGGGUGACAGCUUACAGCCGCAAAGCUGAUUGAAAGCCUGGAAAACAGGACUGAUGGGCAAUCUUAAAAAGAACGUGGAUUAUUCAGCCUGGAGACGUAAACAUGAAUACCUACACUCAAAUAUAUAAGGGGGUCUUUCUCUGAAGUUGGUGGCCAGCUAUUCUCCAGAUCUAGGAGAAAGAGGAAAAAAAAUCAUCAAAUGAGGAAGUGGUUUUAAAUUCCAGCAGGAGAGACUGAGGAUGGAAAAAAAAAAAAAACAAAAAACCAAAAACCAAAGGUCUGAAAUGAGAAUUGGACGUUAGACUGGGUUCCCACAGAGGCUGCUGGAAUCUUCUCUGCAGAGCUGUGCAAACAGACUAGACUCUCCACUGCCUGGCUGUCUGGAGGCUGGAAGUGCCCAAAGGUCAAGAAAACACAGGAUGGCUUCUCAGGAAUACAGUGCCAGUGGAUCUUCCUCCUAGGCUGAGUGACACCUGCCCACACUGCCUGUGAAGGUUGCACAGUUGGCUCCAAUUCUUCUCCAGUCUCUGGUCGUGCCCUCCCCUGCUGACUUUGGACUUGUCCAUUGACUUGCUUUGGCCAGCUGCAAAUGUGAGGCCGUGCCACUUUCUCUAGAUUCUAUUGAAGAUGGGAGGGCUGGAGAGAAGUGGAGAAGCCCCUCGACGCUGUCCACCCGGCUCUUCUGCCCUUCGUCAAAGAGAACGUUCUCUGUAGGCCACAGCCCAGGGGCAAGGUCAAGGUCAGGAGGUUCUGCCCUGGGGAAGCCAGGGCUUGGCCUGGGAGGUGCAAAUCCCUGCACAUGAUCCUGUCAGCCUCGUCUAAUCACACUGUGUGUUUUGACUGAGCAGUCUGCCAGCCUCUCGAGAUUGACGUGGAGAUUAAUGCCUGUUUAGCAAAUUACAGCUUCCCCAGCACCUCCCGCUCCUGGGAGAGAAGGAGCCACGGCAACGGAAAAUAAAAACAAACCUUCACCACUCGUGGCA